AUUAUCCAAACUUGUACAAGCAUAUCGAUUCGUGGUCCAUUGAAGACGAAAGUGGGAACUAUACAUCUUGGCGGUACGUGGCGUCGUAUGGCUGCGGGCCGCGCUGCACCGGUCGCGCCGAUGUCAGCGCGCACAACGAGCGCGCUCCGCCCGCUGAGCCGCACACGCACCGCCUGUACCUUCACGACGUACACUGCACUCGUCUGCCGCUUUUAUAUUGGCCACAAUUUUGUGAAGAGAUUGAAGUGGAGAGCGAGAUUGUGAGUGCAGCGGAAGCGGCUAGGUUGGGAGCGGGGGGAGCGGGAGGAGCAGCGCGCGGCAGCCGGCUGGUGGAGCGCGCGCGCGCUUGGUGCGGCGCGCUGCAUCUGCUGGCGGGCCGCUGCGCCCCGCGCCACUCUCGCGAGGCGCACCUGUACGCGCUGCGGCAUUCGCUCUGAGCUGUGCGAGUUCUAUGUUAAGCGCAAAAAUGUAUGCGUGAAGCGAACUCUAUAAUUAACGUUAAAAAUAUAAUGCUUUCAUACCUUAAUAUAAUACUGAUUUAAUUUAUUGUAUUUGUCCCUGCAUACGAGUACUGUGUGAAUGUUUUGAAUUUUUAAUA